GGCCCAAUGGUCUAGAGGUAAGAUACUUGCUUUGGGCGCUCGGCUCCGAUUGCAAGGGAUCCCGGGUUCGAAUCCCGGUUGGGCCC
rnacentral:tRNA from 1 species